GUACCGAUGGCCGAGUGGUUCAGGCAUCCGUCUGGUAAACGGGGGACGCUGGUUCGAUUCCAGCUCGGAACA